rnacentral:rRNA from 1 species
CUACGGGCUGCUCCAGUGGGGAAUAUUGGACAAUGGAGGCAACUCUGAUCCAGCAAUUCCGCGUGAAUGAUGAAGGUCUUCGGAUUGUAAAAUUCUUUUAGUUGGGAAGAUAGUGACGGUACCAACAGAAAAAGCACCGGCUAAUUACGUGCCAGCAGCCGCGGUAAGACGUAAGGUGCAAGCGUUAUCCGGAAUUACUAGGCGGAAAGGGCAUCUAGGCGGUUAAUUAAGUCAGAGGUGAAAAGUCAGGGCUCAACCUUGGCCUUGCCUUUGAUACUGGUUAACUAGAGUGCGGGAGAGGAGGGCGGAACUACAAGUGUAGCGGUGAAAUGCGUAGAUAUUUGUAGGAAUGCCAAUGACGAAGGUAGCUCUCUGGACCGAUACUGACGCUAAAGUGCGAAAGCUAGGGGAGCAAACAGGAUUAGAUACCCCAGUAGUC